rnacentral:rRNA from 1 species
GGAUCAGGUAGGGAUACCCGCUGAACUUAAGCAUAUCAAUAG